UACGAAGGGAGCUAGCGUUGCUCGGAAUUACUGGGCGUAAAGCGCGUGUAGGCGGCCUUCUAAGUCUGGUGUGAAAGCCCGGGGCUCAACCCCGGAAGUGCAUUGGAUACUGGGAGGCUGGAGUACCGGAGAGGAGGGUGGAAUUCCUGGUGUAGCGGUGAAAUGCGCAGAUAUCGGGAAGAACACCCGUGGCGAAGGCGGCUCUCUGGGACGGUACUGACGCUGAGACGCGAAAGCGUGGGGAGCGAACAGG
rnacentral:rRNA from 1 species